ACCAGACUCCUACGGGAGGCAGCAGUGGGGGAUAUUGCACAAUGGGGGGAACCCUGAUGCAGCGACGCCGCGUGGGUGAAGAAGCGCCUCGGCGCGUAAAGCCCUGUCAGCAGGGAAGAAAAUGACGGUACCUGAAGAAGAAGCCCCGGCUAACUACGUGCCAGCAGCCGCGGUAAUACGUAGGGGGCAAGCGUUAUCCGGAUUUACUGGGUGUAAAGGGGGCGCAGACGGCGAUGCAAGCCAGGAGUGAAAGCCCGGGGCCCAACCCCGGGACUGCUCUUGGAACUGCGUGGCUGGAGUGCAGGAGGGGCAGGCGGAAUUCCUGGUGUAGCGGUGAAAUGCGUAGAUAUUAGGAGGAACACCAGUGGCGAAGGCGGCCUGCUGGACGAUGACUGACGUUGAGGCUCGAAAGCGUGGGGAGCAAACAGGAUUAGAUACCCUGGUAC
rnacentral:rRNA from 1 species